GCCUCUUUCUGCAGCUCAAGAAGCUCAUUUAGUCUAUGACAGCAGUCUACCUGGUCUAGGAAGGAUCCAUCUAUUUCACUUUGCCACCCAUCCCCAAAUUCAUCCUGGACUCCUCUCCCAGAGCAACCUUGGACCAUGGAAAUAUGCUUCAGAGUUACAUAUUGCAGAUGGAUUUGCUCCUGGCCAGGGGAGAAUGUGCCAAGGAAUCCCCAGGUUCUUGUGUUGGCUGUAACAGAACAAAGGACCUAUGAAAGUGCUGCUGACUUGGGGUGCAAAACUGAGAGUUGGUCAUGUCUCCCAAGAGGAAAAAGAACGCACGAA
rnacentral:lncRNA from 1 species